rnacentral:rRNA from 1 species
AACGCGAAGAACCUUACCUACCCUUGACAUGGUCGGAACCUGGCUGAAAGGCUGGGGUGCUCGAAAGAGAACCGGCGCACAGGUGCUGCAUGGCUGUCGUCAGCUCGUGUCGUGAGAUGUUGGGUUAAGUCCCGCAACGAGCGCAACCCUUGUCCUUAGUUGCUACGCAAGAGCACUCUAGGGAGACUGCCGGUGACAAACCGGAGGAAGGUGGGGAUGACGUCAAGUCCUCAUGGCCCUUAUGGGUAGGGCUUCACACGUCAUACAAUGGUCGGAACAGAGGGUUGCCAAGCCGCGAGGUGGAGCCAAUCCCAGAAAACCGAUCGUAGUCCGGAUCGCAGUCUGCAACUCGACUGCGUGAAGCUGGAAUCGCUAGUAAUCGCG